UACGUAGGGUGCGAGCGUUAUCCGGAAUUAUUGGGCGUAAAGAGCUCGUAGGCGGUUUGUCACGUCUGCUGUGAAAACUGGAGGCUCAACCUCCAGCCUGCAGUGGGUACGGGCAGACUAGAGUGCGGUAGGGGAGAUUGGAAUUCCUGGUGUAGCGGUGGAAUGCGCAGAUAUCAGGAGGAACACCGAUGGCGAAGGCAGAUCUCUGGGCCGUAACUGACGCUGAGGAGCGAAAGCAUGGGGAGCGAACAGG
rnacentral:rRNA from 1 species